CCAGGUUGAACUUGGCCUCAUCUGUGAGACCUCUGCACUAAAUUGUCUGAAAGGCCCUUGCAGGAUGUAGAAGUUAGAAUUUCGGCAUUAACUGGAACUUUUAUCCAGGAAGUAAAAUCGAAAUGGCACCAUCCUUAUCGCAAACUCCUAGUAGCUCGGUGUGCAUUUAUUUCCCUGAUCCCUGGAGAAAUACCUUCCUUAGAGAACUCAGUCUGGUUUUAAUAGCUGGCCUGAUCACUUCAUAGAGAAACAGUGACCCCUGGUGGAAGAACCCAGGAGAGCAAUGCCACGGUGCUGAGAUAAUGUAAGGCUUAGGAGAAGUGACUGUUUUCACUUGAACUAGAUUUAAUGAAGAAUAAUAAAUAAAACUUAGAUGCAUAUGUACGGAUGGUUUGAUGUAUGUUAGGCAAAAAUUGGGCUUUCAUGUAUCCAUUUGGGAGUAAUUACUCUUAAUAUAUAAAAAGAAGUUGAGGAUUAGCAAAAGAAUGAAAACAUUUGCUAGAUUGACUGACAGCAAUCUGGAGUGGGCAGGCGUGGAGAGACAGCUAGAUCUCCAGGCAGUGUUCUGAGAAUCAGAGACUUAAGCGACUUACUGAAGAUCUCGGUGAUUACUUCCAUGCAUUCUUUUGAUGAAUCCCCAAUAACUCGCCAAGGCAUGGACUACUAAUUAUCUCCAUUUGACAAAUAAGGAAUGCGCAGGACAGGGACUCUGAGUGACAGAGCCCUUGGCCGUUAAAGAACUUCUGGCUGACUGUGCUGUGUCUUUCGCAAUGUUUAUAGGGUCUUCAAUCAUCUCAAGAGAAAGAGUGCCGCUGGGAUUCCCCACAUGCACUCCAAGCCCUAACACUGCAAAUUAAAUACGUCUUGGACACCAGUGACUUUGACAGUCACCAUGAAGACCUUUGACUGACAGCAAAAAUCUUUGGGACAGGACAUGAACAUUUUCUUUCCUAAUCACACUUGUGGUGUUAGGGAUUGAACCACCUCACACAUGUCAGGCAUUGAACUUCUGAUCCUCUGGUUCAAAUCACUCAGUAGCUGGAACUGCACUUCUGAACCACCAGGCCUUGCUGGGUUUUUCUUAAAAGUCCAUUAUGAAAGACUUUCACCUUCAUUGUAGAUAACUGACAGGCACAACCAAGCUAUAACACUGUAGGAGGGCAUCACCCUGCACUGACACUAUCCCCUUCUAUUCGUUUCUUCCAAUUAUAACUUUAUUUUAUUUUUAAAUAAAUGUGAUCAGACCAAACCCUGCUACUUUAUUUAUGAUUAUUCAAAGACAUAGUUAAGUUCUGUCAAGAUCUUUAUUACAACCAUAUUUAAACAUAUAGCCAUUAAUUUGUCUAAUUAUACUGAGUAAAUGCAUCAUAUUUUAUCUGUUCUCCUAUCUUGAACAUUUCCAGCAUUUUGGUAUUAUAAACAAUGCUCGAACCUUAAACAUUCUAUGAAUACUUCAACAUUGUAAACAAAUGUUGUAUACAAAGAUGUUAGUAGUGGCCUUCAAUUUUCUACCUAACUCUUACCCCCAACACACACAUGUCCACUUGAUCUUUACUGCACAGUCCCAAGUCUCAUGAUGUGGCCUAAGCCAUUCCCUCUCUGGAAUACUCAUGAAUCUAUUCAUAGGGAAGCACUGGUUCAUCUUUCUUAAAAGAAGAUCUUAAAAGCAAGCUCCACUGUUGUUGUCAUAGAAAGGCUCCCUUCUCUGCUCUAAGACUUCUCAUCCUGGUCUCACCAUCCUUCUCUCUAAUUGUUCUGUUUGACUGAGC
ensembl:lncRNA